ACAUAAAAACUCAAAGCAUGUGAAGACUGAAUUAGUGAGAACUUGCUGAGAUUAGCCGAUGAGUCCCAUGCCUGGCAGCCUCCGAUCAUAUUUGCUUUGAGAAAAGAAGAAUACAGAUUAACUUAGGACAUUGGCAUUGAAUAAUUAGAAGCAAUGCUUUCCAAGAAAACCAAAUAGAUUCCUGUUCUUUUGCUCAAAUAAUUGCCCACAGCUAUGAAGUAGAAUGCAUUCCAUAUGAAAGAUGCGGAUACUCUAAACCAUAUGCAAAUCACCCUUAAAAACCAUAUAUGACAAUAUAGUGGUUGACUAAACCCCCGUGGAAGAAUUCAAAGAAGGAUUGAAGGAGCUGAAGGGGAUUGUGACCUCAUAGAAAGAACAACAGAAUCAACUAACCUGGACCCCUCAGAACUUCCAGAGACUAAGCCACCAACCAGGUCAUGCCCCUGGGCACAUGGGUAAAAGAGGACUGUCUUGUCUGGUCUAAGUAGAAGAGGAAACACUUAAUCCUGUGGAAACUGGAUGCCCCAGGGAAGAGGUUAUGCUGGUUAAGUGAGGUGGUGCCAUUGUGUUGGAAGGUUGUAGAUCUCUUGGGUAGUACAGCCCUACUUCAGAGGGAGCUUAAAGCUCAGAUUCUGUGGACAAUUCCUCUUCUGACUGAAGACACAACACAGCCAGCUGCCCCAGUCCUGUGCAGCUUCUGCCACGUGUCCCGUGCCGUACUUGAAUGUAAGCCCCUGGACAGUUGUCAAUAUAAAUCUGUUCUUUCUAAAA